ensembl:snoRNA small nucleolar RNA SNORA65
CCCGCCACUAUACCUGUCUAUCAAGAGUGACUUGAAUAUAGUCCAGUGGAGGCUAAGAUAGACCCAGCUUUAGGAAACAGGGCUGCCCAAACUAAUGGACAACUCUGUGCCGAAAGGUUUGGUACACAC